rnacentral:rRNA from 1 species
GAUGAACGCUAGCGGCAGGCCUAAUACAUGCAAGUCGAACGGGUGGUCGCAAGACCACUAGUGGCGCACGGGUGCGUAACGCGUAACCAACCUGCCCCGAUCUGGGGGAUAGCCCGCCGAAAGGCGGAUUAAUACCGCAUAUACCCGCAGCCUGGCAUCAGGCAACGGGGAAAGAUUUAUUGGAUCGGGAUGGGGUUGCGUGACAUUAGCUAGUUGGCGGGGUAAGGGCCCACCAAGGCGACGAUGUCUAGGGGACCUGAGAGGGUGAUCCCCCACACUGGCACUGAGAUACGGGCCAGACUCCUACGGGAGGCAGCAGUAGGGAAUAUUGGGCAAUGGGCGAGAGCCUGACCCAGCCAUGCCGCGUGCCGGAUGAAGGCCUUCUGGGUUGUAAACGGCUUUUCUCAGGGAAGAAAAAGACCUUGCGAGGUGAACUGACGGUACCUGAGGAAUAAGCACCGGCUAACUCCGUG